rnacentral:rRNA from 1 species
UACGGGGGGGGCAAGCGUUGUUCGGAAUUACUGGGCGUAAAGGGCUCGUAGGUGGCCAACUAAGUCAGACGUGAAAUCCCCAGGCUUAACCUGGGAACUGCAUCCGAUACUGGAUGGCUUGAAUUCGGGAGAGGGAUGCAGAAUUCCAGGUGUAGCGGUGAAAUGCGUAGAUAUCUGGAGGAAUACCGGUGGCGAAGGCGGCAUCCUGGACCGACAUUGACGCUGAGGAGCGAAAGCUAGGGGAGCAAACGGG